UGGAACUGAGGGUAAGAUGCCAGGGAGUUGCAAGAGGGCUCCUUCUCUGAAUAACCUCAUAUUCCAGCAAACUCAGAAAAUUGGAAAAUAGUUUUAAACAGUGGAAGCCUUCUUUGAGGCAUUUAUAUUCCCUGUUAAUAAAGUCACAAAUAAUCACCUUUAUUAUGAAUCCAAAUCAAGUAUAUGAUGCUGCUUAUGGUAGGAUUGGGAGAGAACCACCCCAAAAUACCUCCCCAACUAGCCUAGUAAGGUGCCUACAGGUUCUACCCAUACUCUUUCUUUGAGUAAAAGCACUAGCUUUCAAAUGUCCUGAGAAAAUGCUGGUAUUUUAACUGGGAGAAGAAGAUCAAUGGACAGGGACAGGGUUGGUUUAUUUAGCUGUCUGCUAAGAGUGCAAGAGAUUUGCGAUGGACUGAAUGUUUAUGUCUCUCCCAAAUUCAUGUAUUGAAAUCCUAAUCCCAAGGUGGAGUAUUAGGAGGUGGGGCUGGUGCACAACAGCAAGUGCUCUCACAGUGGAGAGCUCUGGGAAGGCAAAAACAUCCAUGUGUUUGGAGGACCCAGCAAAUGAGCCAGCAGAUUCAUGCCAACAUAGACAUGUGUGAGCUACUUAAUGGCUGUGGCUUCACUACUUCCCUCCAACUUUCACACGAUAUCUCCUGUGGUCCACACUAAUGGGAAACACGCAGCAAAGGGAAUUCUGGGAAAUGCAGUUCAGCCUCAUCAAGUUGACACCCAUCAAGCCACCAUACCAGGUCAGUUGAUUCCAGGAUGUGUGGCCUUUCCAUGACAACACAUUGCCCCUCCUCAAAUGGCUCUGUCCAUUGCUUGCUCAAUCUUUACACCCAAGAAAGGCAUUCUUCCUAGGUCAGCUCGGUUUAAGUAUUGAUACCACAGGCCUGGAACAGGGCAAGGCAGGGUGGAGAAGGAUCAGGAGGUGAGCAUCAUCCUGAGGAGACCCUACAACAAUUAAACUGCAGUUGGAAAGAAAAAGAGUCUCAUCCUUGGGGUGAGCAUAGUAAGGGUGAGGCACUUUGUCUUCCACAUAUCCCUGGCCCCCAGUACCACUUUCUCCCAUAGCCCCAGGUACAGCUGUGCCGUCUCUGUACUGCACUAAAGUGUCCAGCCGAGGGGGAGGGAAGACAGUGGGCUGAAUUAUAGCACUGCCUUUCUCCCCAGUCUCAGAGAUGUUUCAGCCCAGAGGAAUAAAAGCUUUUUUCCCAAUCCAUGGGCCUGAAGGAGCCACCUUUUUAUAAUUUGCACAAAGGCAUUAGAGUUAUAACUGUGCCCCUUGAAUCAUCUGCCUAUAGCUGUCUGACAUAAUAAAAAAUAUAUAUUUGGUCUUUUACCCCAGUUCCUGACACAUGAGUCUUAAAACCCUCAUCAUUUCCUGAAUGAUAGGAGUAAGAGGAGCACCAUUUGUUAUAUUUGGUCUUAUUCUCUGUUCCCUGGCACAAGAGCUUUUAAGAACCUUGGAAUCUCCAGAGUGAUGAGUGUCUUUUUUAUGCUAAUGAGAUGACUAGUACCUGGGGUCCCUAGCCAGCUUCAGGAUGAGGGCUGGUCACCAGAAAGACCAAGCCUUGAUGACAGGGUUAGAACUUUCAGCCAUAUCUCCCUUCCCCAUUCCCCACCUCAACUUCCUGGAAGGGGAGAGGGGCUGGAGAGUGAGUCAAUCACUAACAGCCAGUGAUUGAACCAACCAUAUCUACACAAUGAACCCCCCAUAAAAACCCUAAACAACGGGGUUCAGAGAGCUCCUGGGUUGGUGGACACAUUCACGUGCUGGGAGGGUGGUGCACCCCAACUCCAUGGGGACAGAAGCUCCUGUACUUGGUACCCUUUUGGACCUCCCUCCAGGUACUGCAUUGUCUGUGUGCUCAUUUGUAUUCCUUAUACUCUCCUUUGUAAUAAACUAGUAAUGGUAGAAUGUUUCUGAGUUCUGUGAGCCACUGCAGAAAAUAAUGAAAGCUUAGGGGAUUGUGAGAGCCCCUGAUCUGUAGGCAAGCCGGAAGUUAUGGGUCACCUGGAGACCCACUACUUGCAAUUGGCAAAUGAAGUGGGGGCAGUCUUGUGGGACUGAGUCCUUAAUCUGUGGGGCUUGUGUUAACUGUCAGCACAAGCUAACCAGUGUCAUAAUUGAAGUAAAGUGGACAUCCAGCACCCAGUUGGUGUCCCCAGAGAAUUGGAGAAUUGCUCAGUAUGACCCACACAUUUGGCAUCAGAAGUGUGAAUAGAGAAAAGGGUUUGUUGUUGUUGUUUGUUUGUUUUUCAUUUGAGAAAGCCAAGCCAGGACAGUUUGCCCAGACUUCAGAGACUGCCUUCAGGCUAGCUCAGCUGCUGGUCUACCUGGCUCAAGCCUGAGAGGACCUCCAUGUGAGGAAAGUAGGAGCAGAGAUGAAAAACCAAACAAUUAGUUUCACACUGGUCCUCCCAAAGCAUCAGGACAAUGCCACCUUUGUCAGGGCUUUGAAAAGAAAAUAAAUAAUUGUUAACGGGAUCACAUACUUGGUAUUGUGCUGAGGAUGUUAUAUGAACUAUUCAUUCAAUAAGUGUUUAUUGAUGACCUACUAUAUGCCAGAAAAUAUUCCAGGUGCUGAGGAUAUAGAAGAAAACAGACAAAAAUCCCUGCCCUCAUGGAAUUUACAUUCCAAAGGGAGAGAGAUCAAAUCCGGGCUACAGAUUCCGUUGGUAUUGCUCUUUGGGUCCUGAGUCCCCCAUUGCCUACCUGGGCUGCCCAGGCUGUCAGGGGCCUGCCAUUCUCUCCUUGCAGAUGCACAGUACCUGCAGAGGAUGUACAACGAGUAUACUCCUUCUACUUAUUAAAAAAAGUUAACUGUAAAGCAGCCUCAGGAAGGUCCUUCGGGAGGUAUUCUAGAAGAAGGCAUUGUUCUCAUAGGAGAUGACAGCUCCAUGUGUGUUACUGCCCCUGAAGACCUUCCAGUGGGACAAGAUGUGGAGAUGGAAGACAGUGAUAUUGAUGAUCCUGAUUGUGGGGAGGCCUAGGCUAAUGUGUGUGUUUGUGUUUUAGUUUAAAAAGAAAAAAAAAUAGAAAAAGCUUAAAGAACAAAGAUAUAAAUAAUAUUUUUGUACAGUUGUACAAUAUAUUUGUACUUUAAGUGUUAUUAUAAAAGAGACAAAAUGUUAAAAAAUUAAAAAAUGUUUAAAGUUAAAAAGUUACGGUAAACUAAGGCUAAUUUAUUAUUGAAGGAAUAAAAAAAUUUGUUUAUAAAUUGAGUGUAGCCUAAGUGUGCAGUGUUUAUAAA